rnacentral:sRNA from 1 species
UGCUGAUGUGAAGAAACACUUCCUGACAGGAGCCUGGUAUCAUGGUUACCUGAGAAGCUGUGCCAGAGCCUGACCACUACGAAUACAGAUGCUCUUAGCCAACCAUAGGACUGGGCAGGGGCAACCCCAAGGGAAGAGUUAGGGGAAAGACUAAAGGAGCUGAAGAGGAUUGCAACCCCAUAGGAAGAACAAAAAUAUCAACUAACCAGACUCCCCAGAACUCCAAGGGACAAAAACACCAACAAAAGAAACUCAUGGAGGGACUCCAUGGUUCCAACUGUAGAUGUGGCAGAGGACUGCCUCAUCUUGCAUCAGGGGGAGACACACUGGCUGCCCUACUCCAGAAGGAGCUGUUUCUAAUUUAGUUCAUCUUUCUACCCUGACAACACGCAGGAGAGUCUGGAUCAUAUCAGUCAGUGAGUGCUUGAAUCAUUUGCUUCAUGAAAUUAAGGAAAGAAGAGAUAGAGGAAGGCUGAAGGCACAUUGUUCAAGUGAGGCUUCCUCUGUACCAAAGUAAAUACAAGGAGCAAUGAAACUUCCAGACUUAAAUCCUGUCUCAUGGUGUCCACUUAGUUCUAGCAGGAAACAGAUGUCACACUGAAAAGAAGUGUUUAUACCUGUGUGGAGAGGGGUAAGGACACCAACAAGGAAACAUGAUAUUCUGGGGUGGUCAGCAGAGGCCUUGUCAUGGCAUGUAGCAUGAAGAGGCUGGGGAGGCAGAAGCAGCAGUAGUCCUACUUUUAUAGUUACCUGGCAGUGUGCUAGUUUUUAUGUUGCCUUGA